rnacentral:rRNA from 1 species
ACAGUGGACGCGAGCAUCUGUGGCCAAGUUUUUAAGGGCGCACGGUGGAUGCCUUGGCACCAGGAACCGAUGAAGGACGUGGGAGGCCGCGAUAGGCCCCGGGGAGUCGUCAACCAGGCUUUGAUCCGGGGGUGUCCGAAUGGGGAAACCCGGCAGUCGUCAUGGGCUGUCACCCUUGUCUGAACACAUAGGGCAAGUGGAGGGAACGCGGGGAAGUGAAACAUCUCAGUACCCGCAGGAAGAGAAAACAACCGUGAUUCCGGUAGUAGUGGCGAGCGAAACCGGAUGAGGCCAAACCGUAUGCGUGUGAGACCCGGCAGGGGUUGCGCAUGCGGGGUUGUGGGAUCUCUCUUCUGUUGUCUGCCGGCAACAGGACGAGUCAGAAACCGUUGAUGUAGGCGAAGGACAUGCGAAAGGUCCGGCGUAGAGGGUAAGACCCCCGUAGUCGAAACGUCAGCGGCUCGUUUGAGAGACACCCAAGUAGCACGGGGCCCGAGAAAUCCCGUGUGAAUCUGGCGGGACCACCCGCUAAGCCUAAAUAUUCCCUGGUGACCGAUAGCGGAUAGUACCGUGAGGGAAUGGUGAAAAGUACCCCGGGAGGGGAGUGAAAUAGUACCUGAAACCGUGUGCCUACAAGCCGUGGGAGCGUCGCGUUGAGUGCUUGCACUCAACGUCGUGACUGCGUGCCUUUUGAAGAAUGAGCCUGCGAGUUUGCGGUGUGUUGCGAGGUUAACCCGGGUGGGGUAGCCGUAGCGAAAGCGAGUCCGAAGAGGGCGGUGGAGUAGCACGCUCAAGACCCGAAGCGGAGUGAUCUAGCCAUGGGCAGGUUGAAGCGGAGGUAAGACUUCGUGGAGGACCGAACCCACCAGGGUUGAAAACCUGGGGGAUGACCUGUGGUUAGGGGUGAAAGGCCAAUCAAACUCCGUGAUAGCUGGUUCUCCCCGAAAUGCAUUUAGGUGCAGCGUCGUGUGUUUCUUGCCGGAGGUAGAGCACUGGAUAGGCGAUGGGCCCUACCGGGUUACUGACCUUAGCCAAACUCCGAAUGCCGGUAAGUGAGAGCGCGGCAGUGAGACUGUGGGGGAUAAGCUCCAUGGUCGAGAGGGAAACAGCCCAGAGCAUCGACUAAGGCCCCUAAGCGUACGCUAAGUGGGAAAGGAUGUGGAGUCGCAGAGACAACCAGGAGGUUGGCUUAGAAGCAGCCAUCCUUGAAAGAGUGCGUAAUAGCUCACUGGUCUAGUGAUUCCGCGCCGACAAUGUAGCGGGGCUCAAGCGUACCGCCGAAGUCGUGUCAUUCACACAUUAGGGCCAACGCCUGUGUGGAUGGGUAGGGGAGCGUCGUCUGCCGGGUGAAGCAGCCGUGUAAGCGAGUUGUGGACGGUUGACGAGUGAGAAUGCAGGCAUGAGUAGCGAUUCACACGUGAGAAACGUGUGCGCCGAUUGACUAAGGGUUCCUGGGUCAAGCUGAUCUGCCCAGGGUAAGUCGGGACCUAAGGCGAGGCCGACAGGCGUAGUCGAUGGAUAACCGGUUGAUAUUCCGGUACCCGCUGUGGAGCGUCAAACAUCGAAUCCAGUGAUGCUAAGCCCGUGAAGCCGCCCGCUUUCAGCUUUGCUGUUGGUGGGAGUGGUGGAGCCGGUGACCCGAGCUGGUAGUAGGUGAGUGAUGGGGUGACGCAGGAAGGUAGUCCAUCCCGGGCGGUGGUUGUCCCGGGGUAAGGGUGUAGGACGUCAGGUAGGUAAAUCCGCCUGGCAAUAGUCUGAGACCUGAUGCCGAGCCGAUUGUGGUGAAGUGGAUGAUCCUAUGCUGUCGAGAAAAGCCUCUAGCGAGUUUCAUGGCGGCCCGUACCCUAAACCGACUCAGGUGGUCAGGUAGAGAAUACCGAGGCGUUCGGGUGAACUAUGGUUAAGGAACUCGGCAAAAUGCCCCCGUAACUUCGGGAGAAGGGGGGCCACACUCGGUGAUCCGAUUUACUCGGUGAGCUGGGGGUGGCCGCAGAGACCAGCGAGAAGCGACUGUUUACUAAAAACACAGGUCCGUGCGAAGCCGUAAGGCGAUGUAUACGGACUGACGCCUGCCCGGUGCUGGAACGUUAAGGGGACCGGUUAGCUCACUUUCGGGUGGGCGAAGCUGAGAACUUAAGCGCCAGUAAACGGCGGUGGUAACUAUAACCAUCCUAAGGUAGCGAAAUUCCUUGUCGGGUAAGUUCCGACCUGCACGAAUGGCGUAACGACUUCUCGACUGUCUCAACCAUAGGCCCGGUGAAAUUGCACUACGAGUAAAGAUGCUCGUUUCGCGCAGCAGGACGGAAAGACCCCGGGACCUUUACUACAGUUUGAUAUUGGUGUUCGGUUCGGCUUGUGUAGGAUAGCUGGGAGACUGUGAAGCCUGGACGCCAGUUCGGGUGGAGUCGUCGUUGAAAUACCAGUCUGGUCGUGCUGGAUGUCUAACCUGGGUCCGUGAUCCGGAUCAGGGACAGUGUCUGAUGGGUAGUUUAACUGGGGCGGUUGCCUCCUAAAGGGUAACGGAGGCGCCCAAAGGUUCCCUCAGCCUGGUUGGCAAUCAGGUGUUGAGUGUAAGUGCACAAGGGAGCUUGACUGUGAGACCGACGGGUCGAGCAGGGACGAAAGUCGGGACUAGUGAUCCGGCGGUGGCUUGUGGAAGCGCCGUCGCUCAACGGAUAAAAGGUACCCCGGGGAUAACAGGCUGAUCUUCCCCAAGAGUCCAUAUCGACGGGAUGGUUUGGCACCUCGAUGUCGGCUCGUCGCAUCCUGGGGCUGGAGUCGGUCCCAAGGGUUGGGCUGUUCGCCCAUUAAAGCGGUACGCGAGCUGGGUUUAGAACGUCGUGAGACAGUUCGGUCCCUAUCCGCUGUGCGCGUAGGAGUCUUGAGAAGGGCUGUCCCUAGUACGAGAGGACCGGGACGGACGAACCUCUGGUGUGCCAGUUGUUCUGCCAAGGGCAUGGCUGGUUGGCUACGUUCGGGAGGGAUAACCGCUGAAAGCAUCUAAGCGGGAAGCCUGCUUCGAGAUGAGGGCUCCCACCCACUUGAUGGGGUAAGGCUCCCAGUAGACGACUGGGUUGAUAGGCCGGAUAUGGAAGCACGGUAACGUGUGGAGUUGACCGGUACUAAUAGGCCGAGGGCUUGUCCUCAGUUG